rnacentral:lncRNA from 1 species
GAAAUCGACAUGGUAACAAACAGGCUCUAUUUCGGCUUUGUAUGACCGGUUAACGAAAUCGAAAUCGACAUCGACGUGAACUUCAUACUAUCAUCAACGUAAAAAGCCGACAAAGUCUGGUUUGCCAUCACCAUAUUCAUGUGUACGUCAGUUUUAAAAAAUAUAUAUAUAUAUUCAUGCGUACGUAAGAAUAUUGGUGCUUCAUCAGGUGUAUAACAACGGUUUUAUAAUCUCCGCAAAAAGUCGACUCUUUAUAACCCAAUUUCGUAAUUUAUAAAAGGGAAAUCGCCAAAAAUAUUAUUUUUCAAAAUACCAAUUUUCAUGUUUACACUAACUACUUUUACUCUCAUGUUUAAUGAAGGGUAAAAGACAUUUAUAUCUUUUUGAUUACCUUGGACAAAAAAAAAAUAUAUGGUUAACUAAUCAAAACUUAAAACAUCAACUCUAAACCCUAAUCAUCAACUCUAAACCCUAGACCAUAAAACAUCAACUCUAAACCCUCAACCAUGAAACAUCAACUCUAAACCCUAAAUCCCGAAACAUCAACUCUAAACCCUAAACCCUAAAAUUUCAAAUCUAAAUCCUAAAACAUCAACUCUAACCCUAAACGUAAACGUAAACCCUAAACCCUAAAUCUAAACUUAAAACAUCAACUUUAAACCUAAAUCAUCAACCCUAAACCCUAAACCAUGAAACAUCAACUCUAAACCCUAAACCCCGAAACAUCAACUCUAAACCCUAAACCCUAAACCUUCAAAUCAAAACCCUAAAACAUUAACUCUAAACCCUAAACGUAAACCUUAAACCUUAAACCUUAUAUUUUUCUGAAGUUCGAACCCUAAACCCUAAAACCCUAAACCUUUAAAUCUAAACCCUAAAACAUCAACUCUAAACCCUAAAUGUAAAUCCUAAACCCUAAAUCUUCAAAUCUAAACCCUAAAACAUCAACUCUAAGGUUUUAGGGUUUAGGGUUUAGGGUUUAGGGUUUAGGGUUUAGAGUUGAAGGUUUAGGGUUUAGGGUUUAGAGUUGAUGUUUUAGGAUUUAGGGUUAAUUUUUUAGGGUUUAGGGUUUAGAGUUUACUUUUUAGGAUUUAGGAUUUAGUGUUGAUAGUUUAGGGUUUAGUGUUGAUGGUUUAGGGUUUAGAGUUGAAGUUUAGGGUUUAGAGUUGAUGUUUUAGGGUUUAGAGUUGAAGGUUUAGGGUUUAGGAUUUAUGGUUGAUGUUUCAGUGUUUAGGGUUUAUUUCAAAAAAAUAUAGGGUUUAGGAUUGAUGGUUUAGGGUUUAGGGUUCGUAUUUAAAAAAUAGGGUUUAGGGUUUAAAGUUGAGUUUUAAGGUUUAGGGUUUGAAUUUCGAAAC